rnacentral:rRNA from 1 species
GAUGAACGCUGACGUGCUUAACACAUGCAAGUCGAACGGAGAUUAUUGACGGAAGUUUUCGGAUGGAAGACGGUAAUCUUAGUGGCGGACGGGUGAGUAACGCGUGGGUAACCUGCCCCGUACAGGGGGAUAGCGUCGGGAAACUGACGGUAAGACCGCAUAGGACCACAUAUUCGCAUGGAUAAGUGGUGAAAAGGGAAACCUGGUAUGGGAUGGACCCGCGUCCGAUUAGCCAGUUGGCAGGGUAAAGGCCUACCAAAGCUUCGAUCGGUAGCCGGACUGAGAGGUCGGACGGCCACAUUGGGACUGAGACACGGCCCAGACUCCUACGGGAGGCAGCAGUGGGGGAUAUUGCACAAUGGAGGAAACUCUGAUGCAGCGACGCCGCGUGAGUGAAGAAGUGCUCCGGCAUGUAAAGCUCUUUCAGCAGGGAAGAUGAUGACGGUACCUGAAUAAGAAGCCCCGCAGUC